AUUGAACGCUGGCGGCAGGCCUAACACAUGCAAGUCGAACGAGUGGCGGACGGGUGAGUAAUGUCUGGGAAACUGCCUGAUGGAGGGGGAUAACUACUGGAAACGGUAGCUAAUACCGCAUACCAUCAGAUGUGCCCAGAUGGGAUUAGCUAGUAGGUGGGGUAAUGGCUCACCUAGGCGACGAUCCCUAGCUGGGCUGAGAGGAUGACCAGCCAGACUGUAACUGAGACACGGUCCAGACUCCUACGGGAGGCAGCAGUGGGGAAUAUUUCGCAAUGGGCGAAAGCCUGAUGCAGCAAUGGCGCGUGUGGGAAGAAGGCCUUCGGGUUGUAAAGCAAUGUCAGCAAGGAGGCGUUACUCACAGACGAAGCACCGGCUAACUCCGUGCCAGCAGCCGCGGUAAUAC
rnacentral:rRNA from 1 species